AGGUCACUGACAUUCCCUCUCAUGAACCAGGGACAUUGAUCUAGUCCUGGUCUAAUGAAUCAGUGACAUAUUUAAAUGUUCUUGGAAGACUCCUAUCCAGUUGUUGACCUAAAUGGGAUUAUAGUACCACACAGCAAGCUUUAAUUUCAGUACUGCCUAAAGGCAGAAGAGAGUCCAGCAGAUUGAAACAAAGGCUGACCACAAUUAGAGGUGGUGCGCAACGAAAAAAUGUACAAGCACAACCGUGAUUCAGAGUUAAAACUCAGACAGAUAAAAUACUGCGUGACUCUGCUUCUAAUUAGUAUGAAAAAGUUGUGUUCUCGGCAAUUUCUCCUUUAUGCUCAUAUGAGAAAGAAGAGUUAAUUUAACUACAGUUAAUUUCAUGCCCUCUGUAAUGUACCCAAUUAUAUCGUCCUAAUUAUUUCAAGCCCUCGUGUGUCUUGCUUGAGUGCCUUUUUUGGAAGAGGACAUUAAAUAACGAUUAUCCUCCUCAUUAAUACAAUGCACAUUAAAGAGAAAACAAACAAGAUGUGGAUAAAAGGCAUAAAUAUAAUUUAUAUUUUUUUCUCACUUUCUCCCUGAUCUUUCAACAACAGCAGUAACAUUAGUCAUGGAGACAUCAGGAGGCUUGGAAAUUUUUUGUCUUAGCUUGUCAGUCCAAUUUUGUGUAAGGGUGUGGGUAUCCUAGAAGCUGGGUUUUUCUGAGAGAUCAGCUAUUAUUAACCUAUAACACUAAGUUACAAUUGCAGAAGUUGAGACUUCAAUUAACUCUAAUUCAUCCUUGUUUUACUAAUUUGGACAAUGAAGCAGAAAGCAGCGAGUCAUAGUAAAGAAUAAGCUAGGAGGGUAACAUUUCUUGUGCAUGAAGACUAAGAUGAGGCAAUAUUAGUGCUAUCUCAUCCAUAUGAAGGUAGAUAGGACUUGGAGACAGUGUAUGAGGCAGAUGUGACUUCUGACAUCUCACCCAAUUAGGGGUAUCGUGAUUAAACAACAUGCUGUGGCCUUCCCCAUCCAGUGAAAGCUGGGAGUGAGGGUAACAAGCACUGUGAUCAGAAGAUAUUUUAGUCUGGACACUGUUGCACCAGUGGUAGAACAGUCCCCAGCAAGCUCAGAUAAAGGAUUAAUACAAAGAAUAACAUAAUCAUAGAAUCAUUGAAUCAUAAAAUGGCUUGUGUUGGAACAGAUCUUGAAAGAUCAUCUAGUCUGAUUCUCUUGCCAUGGACAGGGACUCCUUUUGCUAUACCAGGCUGCUCAAAGCCCUGUCCAAUCUGGCCUUGCACAUUUUCAGGGACGGGGCAUCCACUGCUUCUCUUGGCAACCUGCUCUAGUGCCUGACCACUCAUAUUGUAAAAAAUUUCUUCCUUAUGUACAAUCUCAAAAUACUCUCUCAGUUUAAAACUGAUGCACCUUGCCCUGUCUCUACAGGCCCCACUAAAAAAUCUGCCCUCAUCUUUCUUGUAAGCCUGUAAGCCCCCUUUAAGUACUGGAAGGUGCUAUAAGGUCUCCCUGGAAUCUCCUCCGAGCUGAACAACUCCCAACUCUCUCAGCCUGUCUACAUCGGAGAGGUGCUCCAGCACCCUGAUCAUCUUCAUGAUCCUUCUCUGGACUCGUUCCAGCAGGUCCAUACCCUUCUCAUCCCGGGGACCCUAGAGCUGGAUGUGGUACUGCAGAGUCUCACCAGAGCAGAGUAGAGGGGCAGAAUCACCACCCUCCACCUGCAGCCCAUGUUGGUGGGGAUGCAGGAUACAGUUGUCUUUCUGGGCUGUAAGUGCACAUUGCUGGCUCCUGUCCAGUUUUUUAUCCACCAGUAUCCCUGAGUUCUUCUCUUCAGGGCUCAAUGUAUAUAAUAUAAGGGUCUAGAUAGGAUAAAGGACAGUGUCAGCUCAUAUUUUCGUUUAUGCAUACUUUUUGAAUUGCAGAAAUGUAUAUGCUGUUUAUGGAGCAAUCACUGAAGUGAUUUCUUCAUUUUGUUGUAUCAAGAUAAAAAAAGAAAAAUAAAUUAUCUACUCCCUGUGUUUAAAUCUCAAAUCUCAAGCAACUGUAUAAUAAUGUGCUGUUUGGAUUUGGAAAGUGUAGCUGGCCUUCAGUAGUCUCCUCCUUCCCACCUGUUCUGGAUAUGGUUUAACUGGGAAGAUGAAUAAUGAUUCAGCUGUUUCAGGCACUUUCAGAUACUUUCUCAUCUGGGAGUGAAACUGCAAGACUCAUCAAGCACAGGGUAAUAAAAACAUGUGCAGACAGAAAUACCCCGAGUCUAUAUAAGCUGAGGUUGCUCCUGCCAUUUGGCUCAUGUAAAGAUUCUUUAAAUCCUCUUACAGUAAAGGGCUGUGGGACUGAUAAAAGUGUGCCUGCCUGUUUUGUAACAAGCAGCAAAGAAGCACUGCUGAGUCACCUUCGGUGUGAGCUCACUCUUCUUUUUCAUUACUGAGAGCAGGUGUCACAUGCCUUUUCUGAUGCAACUGCUGGUAACUGCUCUGCUGUCACCCAUUGUGUCACUUGGCAUCAUGGGCAGAGUCAGCUGAUGGUGUGAAGGAGAGAGGAUCAGCAUCUGAUACCAAAGUAUAAACAAAUUCAGGUAAACAUUACCUCACUGAGGAGAAAGGGGGGAAUGGUCACAGUCCAAAUAAAAAGCAGAAAGGAUAUAUAAAUCAAAGAUAGCAAGGGAAAAGUCUGCUGCAGGAACAUUACUCUGGCAGAGUUUUUGCAUCAGCCAAGCACGUCCUGUUCAGCUAAGCAAAGGCAGAGACAAAAAUAGAGUACCCUAGCAGUCUGUACUUCCCAGUAAUUGCAGACCCCCAGCAGCCCAGCUGGUUGGCCCAGGAUAGAGGAGAAUGUUUCUCAGUGUUGGUGAGAAAUGCUUAAUUGAUAUUAACGUGGAUGGAAAUGGUCUGCUCAGCCAUAGGACAGACGUCGUUUGGUACAUUUUCCUUCCCUCUAAUGCUAUAGUGCUCAUGCAACCUGAAAGGACCAUCUGUAGAUCUUUGAGAUUAGUGCAGGCCUGUUUAUUAUUUGGCUUUUCUGUUGGUUUCCUCUCUGUCUAGAUCUGCUGAGCUAAUUGCCUUGAUAUAUGAAUGUCAGGGUUGCCUAGGUUUCUCAGCAGGCAGCAGAUUUUUUAGCAUGCAUUUAUUCCUAAUUCAAAGUAAGUCUAAGAACCUGCUGAACUGCGCAGCCACCAAAAUGGGAAAACCUUCAUUGUCCAGGCUGCCUGAAUCAAGCUCUUCUGCCAUGCUGCUAAGUAGUGUUUCCAUGGUCUGAACUCUGCAUUACAGUUUGCAUUUUUUUUCUCAGGGUUCAGGUUCAAGACCUUUCCUGACACAUCUCCCUCUCCCAGUUAAAGCCAAAGCUCUGUGUUUGAAUUACAUGUGGGCAGCAAAGUUCACAGAUGAUGGAAAAGAGUCAAAAUAAUAUCACCUGCAAGUUGAGUCUACCUUUUUGAUCUCCUGUAUAAUAUGUGUCUUUAUUCUUCAGUAGUAGGAUCUCCAAUGUUUUAGCCUUGUCUUGUCACAUGCAGAGGAGGAUUAACACUACUAGAAGGCAACAGAGUCACAGAGAAGAAUGGACAGGACAGUAACUUAUCAAUAAUAGUAUCAUCCCUUCACCUAGCAGGCUCCAACACAGAAACAUGCCUUGUUUCUAUUAAUAUUUCAUAGAACCAGCUGGUACUACUAGAUCCAGACAGUCCCAAUGAACUUCAUUUUAGCCUUUUUAUUAGCUUAUAAAUGUGAUAGGGUUGAUGGAUACCAUUUAAUGGAACGCUUUCCACCCUGCUCCCCCUUCCCUUCCCACCCUGAAAAAUCUGACAUUCAUAAAUUGAGGAGGUCAGUAAUUUGCAUCCAGCUGAGUGGCUGUCUGGCUUUAAUGAGAUGAUUUGUAAUCAUAAGCACUGCACUGCAGUGAUGUCUGGUACAGGGGAAAGAGGAGCACGUAUGCAUACUCCAGCUGACGUGAGGGAGAGGUGAUGGGAGGGAGGGAAAGCACAUGGAUCAGAAAAAGGAAGUAAGGCUGAAAUGACAUAAGGAGCUCCAUUAAAUGUAAUAUAAUAAUGCUGGCCUGGUUAGCAUAAGAAGAGCCAGAGGCUGGCUGAUGCAAGCCAGUGAAACUCCUGUUACUUAGGGUAGGCAGGCAGCUUGCAGGAUUGCACUUAUCUAGAGCUCUUUAGAAUAGCUGAAAAUAACAGGUUUGUUUUUGCCAGCUUUAAGCCCUCAGUGCCCUUAUUGCACAGAUCUGUCAUUCCUCUCCCACUCCUUAUAUAACAAAAAAACUUCCAGACCAGGAAGACAGUUCAGGGGCUAAAGAAGUUAUAUGUUGUGGCAUUAGCAUGUUUCAUGUCAGCUAUAUUUUCAGUGAUUUUCCUAAACAAGUGGAUCACAUUCUGUCUGUGUGUAUAUUCUUCCUCAAUCUGAUGCAUUUUUAACCCACUGGCUCUUUUUAUUUCAGUCACACAAAGCAGUAGCAAAUUCCCACAAGUCUCAGGCAAGCAGGUAGGAGAGAGAUGAAGACUAUUAAUCCAUUCACUGGGGGAAAGACUCAGAAGAGAAUCCUUCUGAGAGAGAGAUAUUUUUAAUUCCCUGGCUUUGAUAAAAGCUUCACUUGGCAUCUCUUUCAGAUCCGACAGCCACGAAUCCCACCACAGGCACAAAUCCACAGGAAGCCAGGCUGAGCUGGCUCUUCUGCACACACAACUACUUUCUCUGGCUGACUAUAAGAAUUUUGCACCUCCCAAAGACUAUCUUUCCCUUGUCUCCAGGGUUUCUCUCCUCUGUAGUAGCAAUUCUCUGAGAUCGUCACACGAUACUUUUUCAUUAGGGAUCCCAGCUGUGGAGGACUAGGUUUCUUUAACCAUGUUUCCAGCUGUCUUGAGUUACUCUGCAGCAGCCCAGCUGGACCAGUGUAGUUUUUCGUACAGCUGCAAUGGAGUAGCUUGGAUCAGCUUAAAGGUUGUUAUUUUAAAAUUAAUUAACUACAUUAUGUUAAAAAAAAAAAGCAGCAAGUGUGCAAACUGAUCUGUUUGGCUAAAAUCCACAUCUAAGGAGAAGACACUGACAUGAGGAAGGGGGGCUGCUGGUUCACAGUGUCUCCCAGUCCAGGUGUGGUUCAGCCCACAGCCCAUAUAUGAGGGGUGGUAUCUCCAGGACAGCCUGCAGUCAGGUCACAUUUUCAAUAAGCAACCCUACUAUCACAGGGCCCCCUCCCUUCCUUUGCCAGUUCAUAUCAGGUGACUUUCAGCCCUUUUUCACCUCACCUCUUUCAGUCACGACCUCACAUCCCCUUCCUCAUCUGUCCCUGAAGCAUGAACAUCCUUCCUAUCAGACAACAAAGAGCUUUUCUCUCCCCCUCUCCUGAGUUCCUUCUGUGAAACAUACAUGCUUGAUGCUCUUCCCUCCCUGCAGAUGUUUGUAACUCUGCAACAUAAUCCCUCCCUCCUCUUCCCUGGGGAGACAUGUUACCCCUACGUUAAGUAUAGAGAUUUAAGUUACAGGGAUGUGUGGGUGGCCUUUGGAAAUCGCGCCAGAAAGGCGCUUCUCAACCAGAUUUUCAGUUCCGACAGAAAAAGAAGAAACAGCCCAACUCUACCCAGCAUGCAAAAACCAAUAGUUUACCUUCUUUUGGGACAGAAGGUGUCUUCAGUAACCCAAGGUUAAAAGCUUCCUCUGGGUAAGAUAAAUACCCUACAGAUGGAUCUUUUUGAGUAGAGCCCUGCCCAGGAAGCAUGUCUCCGAACUUCUCUACAUUUCCCAGGCUAUCUAAUUCCAUCAGCAGGUCUGUGAGCUGACAGUAUCUCCCACAGCUUUUUCACAGACACACUGAAUGCUUUGCCAGGUCCUUAAAAAGUACCAAUCUACUGUGCUAGGUAAGCAAGAAGAGUAUUAUUUGUCAGAAAGGAGUUAAUUUUGUAUGGUCUUAAUGUUAAGAACAUAAAUAAACAGAAGGUCAUGAGGAGGAAAAUUCAUUUUUACUGUCCCUCUAAUGUACAAUGUCUCCUCUUUGUCUAGGGAGUAUCCCACAGAUGAUCACCUCUCAGCCAGCAGUGCACUUUAGUGCUGUCGUUCAACCUAAGAAAAACCUUGAAACAUUCAUUGGUGCUGUUUUAUUAUUUUCCCAAUCAUGUUUCCUGGACUUGACUUGUCCUGUCCUUUUGAUCAAUAGCAGACAUCACCCAGCAUGAGAUAUGUUUUGGAUUGAUUUAGAGUGCUUGUUAGUAGCAACUUCUAAAUCACUUUGCUGAGCUUCCUCUCUUUGAUGUUGUUGGCAAUGGAUAAGGUCUUAGGCUGAGAUUUUCAAAGGACACAACAACUGAAGAGUCCAGAACACUUAAAGCUCUCCAGACCGUGUUGAAACUCGCAGCUAAAAAGUGCAAGAAAUUUGCUUGCUUUCAGUUAUAAGAUUUUGAAGCACUCUAAGGUGCACAUAGCUGCUUUAUGGGGGUUUCAGAGGUGCCCUUCAGAAGCUUUGUGCUUAGGCAUAUUUGGAAAUCCUAUUAGAAGCCAUUCAGCAUCUUUAUAUGCCUAAAUUCCUUUAAAGCCUGACUCAGCAUACUGUGAUACUCUUCUGUGUGUGUGAGAUCAACGGCAUAAAGAGCAGGCUCUCAAGUGAAUGACUGAUGCUACAUGAAUGUGUGGAACACAAGCCAAAUCCCAAAUGCAAGGGUUCAUAUGUUACAGUCAUAUAACCCAGUCACUUGCUUCUUCACAGUUGUCACAGCAAAGCUGUCAUUUCCUGGUUCAAGAGUUUUUAUCACAUCCUUAUCCUUGAUGCACACUCUGGGAGGAGGAAGGAUUCAUGAAGCAAGUGGAAGCGUGAUUCAGAAACUUCAUCAAGUUGAGGAAUAAAAAUGCUCCCAGCAGUGGCCUCUCUCUAUUUGGGUAUGUGGAAUGGAUAGCUGGAGUUCCUCACAUAAUUUAGGUUACAUUACCAUUUUUCAAGAAAAUCCACAGUCUGGAUUCAGUUUACGUAAAUAAGAGCUUCAAAACCAAAGUCUCAAACAUCUUGUUCCAUUCUUGCCAACUUCCAGCUGAAGGAUAUUUUUGAUCAUGAAUUAUAAUGGUGGAAAAUAUUGACUGAUUCAAUGAGAGCAAGACUGAGAGAGACAGACACGUAGACCACUUCCGAGGAGAUGUAUCCUAUUUCCUAUGACAGGCAGCUUUCUUAUUAAAAUUAUCCCAGUAUAUACAAUCUCUAUUCGAGCAUGAAGUGCUCAUUACAAGUCACUACAUAAAUAAUGUACACUUAAAAUGAUUCUCUGUGCCAUAAAUAUUGACCUUGGUUAAUAAUUGACUAUGGGAUUCUGUGUCUGUUCCCCUCAAACACUACUGACUGAGGGUCUGGGCUCUUCUCAUCUUGUUUCUUUCCUUUCAUUCCUGUAAGCUUUUGAGAAGAUAUAAUACUGAUACUAUCAGUAUAACAAUGACACAAAUUUGGACUGAAGUAUGUAACAGCUCCUCUAUCCCUCUCAGUUCUUGCUUAGUGUCCCCAGGGAUUUAAUUGGAAAGUGUGAAAAAAAAUAUUUUGAAUUAACUUUGUAAUUUAAUCUGUGAUUUCUGUGCCAGCGUUUGCUCUAGUCCCUGUCCAUUUUUGCUUUAACCUCUAAUUAACAUUUAUUACAGUGAAAUAGAUGUAUCAUUCACUUUGUGAGGCUAGUUCAUGAAAAGGUGUCAAAGAGCAGAAUAUGGACCAAAUUUGCUGCUCAAACUGCAGUGGACCCAAGACAUUCUUUGUAUAUGAAGUUUCCCAGCUUCAUGCUUGAUAAAUCUGUACUGCCUGUACUGAGCACUUGCAAGAUUCUACAGAUUCGUGGAGAAAGAAAAACUGAAUAAUCAGAAAAUGGUGCCUGUUCAGGUUUACAACUUCAGCCAAGACUCCAGAACAGUUUGUGCCUCUGCAGCUCUUAGGCUGGACUUGCAGGAAAAAUGACUCAUACCUCAUACACCAACGUACCUUAUAUAUCUAGAAUGAUUUGUCCAUAGAGCUUUGACUGGGUCUCUACAUGAGAUGAAAAUUGCAAGCAAAGAUAAAAUGUGCUGAAUGUCCUGCCUGUGGUAUUCAGGUACCAGAAAGCAGUGAGGAAAGGCUUUGAUAGCAACAGCAUGAGAAGAUUUCAUCAGGAUGUUUUAUCCUCUAAGUUCUGAUAGGACUUUCCCCUUUUGGACAUUCUGCGAAUAUGUUAAGUCUCACUAAAAAUGCUGUGGACUGUUCCUGCAGUUCCCAGGUUUCCUUUUUCCUCUGGUGACACAGUUAUAUCCAUGCCAUGUGGGAACUGAGAAAACUGUGUCUCUUCUUUCACUCCCAGCCUUUGCAAUUCUUAGCCCAAUGGUUCCUUGCUUUGAGAGAGAGAUAUGGAGGAUGCUGUCCAACAAGCAACAUCUAUUUAUAGAGGCAGUGAAUACACAAUGAGUUAGGAGAUGGUGACCAAAAUGUGGAGCAUUGUCUGUGGGUCCUUGAGGACCAAUAAAAAUAAUAGAACUGCAACUGUAAAUAGCUUAUUACAAACAUCCAAUUUCUAUGCUUGGAAUUCAGGACUCUGUCCAGACCAUAAAAUUAAUCCUCAUUGCCUGCUGGACCUUGGAAGCUGGGUUCCUCUGCCAAAGGUCACUCAGUUCUCAGUGGUGGCACCGGUGCUGAUUUGUUUUGGCUCUGUGCAUAAACAUUUGCUCUGCUUGGUUACAGGCUGGGAUUGCAUGAAGAACAUCGGAAAGCAGGGUGAAGUGCUACAGCUCCUUCAUAGCUAAGGAUUUCACCUCAAGAAAGGGCACAUGAAAGGACCUAUGUACUAAAACUUACAUGUACUGGGAUGGUUAAUAUAAAGAGAAUGCCAAAAAGGUUUUGCCUUGGGUUAAUACUUAAAAUUGUUGGUGAAGGAAUGAUGAGAAUUUGUAAUCAUAACUAAGGUUAGAUGUGGUAAAAUAUAUUUUAUGUUCAAUGCCAGUUUUACUUUUUACUGUGCCAAGAAUGAUAAAGUCUGUAAUACUUUUUCAAGUAUUUAAGAUUUCUAAUUAUUAUUUAUUAAUCAAGAAUAUUUAGAAAUGCCUAAAGGGGCCAAGCUGAGCCAGGGUUUUUUUGCACUGGUGUAACAUGCACAGAUAAAAACCUGCUGUAACCCUAUUUGCAUUAUUAUUAUUUUAAUCUUCUUUUCAAGUAUGUUCCUUCCUCUGUAGAAUAAAUCUUACAACCUAUAAACUGCUUUAAGAUCUCUGAUGGUGGUGAGAAAUGAAGCAAUAACCCCCUCUUACCCCUCUCUUAUAGAUCAUCAUGUAACUUCAUAAUCAAACUUUUUAAUUUAAAGUUGUACUGGAAACAGUGUUUAAAAUAGUUCUGUGGGCCUUUUCUGGUCUUUCACAUUAUGAAGCCAACAACUUAAUCCCUAAGGGGGCCAAAGGGAUGUAUAUACACGCUAUUGAAUUAAAAUCCUUUGUCAUGACCACUACAAUCUAUUGAUAGGACAUUUUGUUACCCUGUGUGGCCUUGUCUUAGGUAGCAAAAGAAAAAAUAAAAUAAAAAAAUGCAGAAGCUCAGGACUGAGUUAACAACACUGCUGUUACAGCCAAGAUGACAUUUCUUAUCCUAUACCCCCCACCCCCUAAGAGAACAAAACCAGCCAAAGACUCUCUAAAGAUUCAGUGGAAAAAAGCACUUCCAAGGUGGCCAUGAGGCCUUCAGAAAUGAGACUGAAGGUAUAGACAUGCCUGAGGUUCCCUGGCCAGUGAGAGGGAUGCUCUAACACAAAUCACUCACCAAAUGGCACUUAAUCUUCAGACUUCUAGGAUAUUUUGCCUCCAGCUGUGUUCAAAUGGGCUGGUAUUAGUACAGUUGUCAUUUAUCAGUAUAGAACAAAAAAGGUAGACAUCCACAGAGAUCCGUUGUGAAGCCCAGGUGUUAGCAGCCUGCCUCAGAGCUGGUAUGAUACCAGUAAAAGCUUGGCAGCAGCACAGAGGGUACAUAGAUGUUUUCACGUUCAGCUUAACCUACACCAUCAACAACACCAAAUGGGAAAUAGGUGAAAAACUCAAGGAAGCUCUCAUUAGUUAAUUAUAUGAUCUGCAGUUGUACACCAGCAAUCAGUGUCCCCUCUUGCUUGACAGACACUUAUUAGACCAUUUCCAGUUGUCCCUGUACAAGGUACCAGGUGCAGCCCCAUACUGGUUGGUACAAUCAAAAUCACAUUCCAAGUGUGCACAUCUGCUCAUGGGGCUGGGCAGACUUCUUCUGGCACCUCUAGGCUCCAAGCCAGCAAAGAGGGCCAUUAAGGCUUCCUGUUAUAACUGGAUCCUGAAGCAUCCAUCUGAGCUGUGGCUGGUACUUGUGGGCAGUACUGCCCACUCUGCGGGGCUGUGAGCAAGAAGGCAGAGUUGGGCUCUGCUCCUGCCAAGCUGGGCCAUUGAGAGAAGCCCCUUUUCCUUGUCCUCACCCUUCUCCCUCCCUCUCUCUCGAUCUGUGAGCAGAGGAAAUCCUGUCUCACCCUGCUUGUAUGUACACUGCCUUGCAAAAUAUGGUCUUGAUCACAGCUGUGGUUUCCAGGCUUUAUUACAGGGCAUAGAAACAAUGGGAGCUUUAUUACCCUGAAUGUAUAAUUUUUGUUUGAAUGCUCCCUCAGCAUGGUGUUCUGACUCCAGGCUUGCUGAAAGAGGCUCACACAGUAAUUAAAAGAUUGCUAAUAUUACUAAUGCUGUUCAAAGCAUAAUUCCACAUCAAAACUCUGCUGGGCUUUUGGGGCCAUUUAAACAUCCAAGUUUUAUCCCACUUCAAAUUCAGCUUCUGAGCCUCCCCUCUACAGCGGAUCAAACUAAAGGCCUAAAUCCAACCAUACUCUGAAUGAAGCUCCAGAUUGUAUAGCUUCAAGUCCUCUUCCUAUGUGUGAAAUUGUAUGCUGUACUUUGUAGAACAGAAGUCCUUGGUCAAGUGCUUUUGUGCUAUAUCAUGCAGAAAUGCAAUAAAACCAACUUUUCUAGUUAGUUUAUAAUCUGUGUUUAUUACAGCCCCAAUAAUUCAUACCCUGGAGAUAAAACUGGUAAAUCUCACUUCCCAAUAGAAGUUUAUCCCAACUAAAGCUGAGCAAGAAAGUCACUCUGUGACCCAGCAUAUGGUUCUCACCAGAGAACUGCAUCACAUUCUACAAACUAGGGUACCACUUUGUUUUCUCCCUCUUUCAGAGACAGGAAAGACAAGCUGCAGCUCUCAAAAUCAAGUUAAAAUCAUUUUGCCCACCUCUUGCAGAUUAAAAAAAAAAAAAAUCUGCUAAUUACCACACUGAGGAUCUGACUUUUAUAAAAGCUCAGUUCCUAUUUUGGCACAGAGCUAAUUGGUUAGAAGUUAUAAGAACUAUCUACACUGACUACUGGUCUCUUUCAAAAUCUGUCACAGUGGGAGAUGCUAGUUUGUGAGUACUCGUGAAAAUCUGCCCUCGCAUCAACAAUAUUAUCAAAAGAUUUUGCAUAUGGUGCUUAGCUCUGGUGAGGGUCUGAAUAUGGCUGUUUACUGUCAAAAUCAGAGGUUUUCUCAGUGGAAAACUGGUGUUGAAAUCUAAGGUUUGAGUCAGGUGUAGUACAGUCUUUGGAGGUUUUUUCACAUCAGUGCUCUAGCAGGUAGGAUACUGUUUCUUUUCUCCAUUGUCUCAAACCAGUUUCUUUUUAACACAGGGAAAACUUUUAUUGGCAUUCCAUCUAGCCUUCAUAAGUCAGAAAGAGUUGACUGUGUUGCAUUUUCACUGCAUUAAUUCUGUCAAUCUAAUAUGAGAGAAUUAAAUCAAAUUUGCUGGUAAACAUACCUAGGGCACACAGAAAACAGCUCUACCAAGUUACAAGCAUGUCAUUUCUAAUGAGUCUUCUGACUAUGCAUACUCUGUGUGUCCUCUCCAUUUCACAGUCCAAGAGUGAGAGUUGUCUUUUCCACAGGGAAACUGGCAUUUCAUUUGUGGCAGCAAGAGGUUGUUUCCAAAGAGUAACAUGAAAAGCCAGUUUAUCUGUGCUAUGGUCAAUGUAUCAUCCUUCUCACAUUUUUGAGCCCUUUUUUGAGAAUGAUGAAUUGUAGUCAUCACCGCAUUCAAUUAAUUUUACUUAGCUGGUUUUUAUAGUGUGUUUGUACCAAGUGUCCUCUAACAGCUGAUAAAUCAUCCCUGAGUGGCUGCAGAGGUAGUGGCAGUGACAUACACUGGGCUGACAACAGGAAUGUGUCACAUCGUGUCUCUUGCCCUCUUUUUCCGGAAAGAUUUUUGUGACCUUUGGUGGCAUUUGGAAGAAGCUCUAUUGAUCUCUGUGCAGUAUUAAUCUUAAACAAACAGGCCAUAUAAUUUAUGUAAACUCCACAGGUAAUUAAAUUCCUUCCAGCAAAGGUCAGGGCAGAAUAUUUAAGAUUUCAUUUGAAUAGAAAUUACAGUUAGAAGUGAAGGGGGGGGGGGGGGAAGAGGGAAAAGAAGAAAUUUGGAGCUUGUCAUAUCAAUUAUUACAGUGUAACUAAGAGGACUCAAGCUACUUCUCAAGUGCUAACAUCCAGUCUUCAUCAUGUGCACACACAGUUUGGAAAUGUUUGUCUAGAAUGACUUACAAAUGAUUUUAAGAAAUGUUCAAAUAUUUCUAAUAGAUAGUGAACAGAAAUAUCACCUUUCUUCCAAGAGAUCUGAGACUGUCAUUCAUAAAUGAACAAGCCCUAAACUCACAAACCUGUCUUUGUAAUUGGCCAUGAUUGUAGUAUCCACUCUUCCUUCUCCAAGAUCUCAAGGACCAUGGAAAGUAUUAUUUUUCUGUUUACCUUCCAAUUUCACAAAUCUUUGGAUUUCUGUGUUCAAGCUUGUCUUCCAUCCAUUUUAAUUGGGCAAGUCCAGAUGCUCAUAUCAAAUCCGUGGCUUCUGAGCAAGGACAUUGAACAACACAGACUACUGCAUGAUAAAAUUUUGUGCUUUGAAUAUUGUCUUUUUUUUGCUUGAUAGUCCCAAAUUAUCAGAAUGUGGUGCCAUGCUUGGGAAAGACAUGUAGUAGAAAAUUUCUACUACUUACCUGAUGAAAUAGUCUUUCUCUGAACACAGAAGAGGAUUGUCAUAAGGCUGAAAGAGGACCCAGGAUGGGGACAGAGACAUUCAGUGGGUGAAAACCUUGGAGCAACCCAGUCUGUGGAGAUGGUUUCAGCAAGAGUCACAGUGACUUUCCCCUUUAGCUGAGAAGAGCCUACAUUCACAGGGAUGUCUGGGGUGUAAAAUAGUCACAGAAUAGUAUAAGUGGUAUAGGUAGGAUUUUUCACAGAAAUUCUUUAUUGUCUUUUCUUCCUCAUUGAAUGGCCUGUUAAGGUUGUCAUGAAAGGGAGAAGUGGCUGGCCAUCACUGAGAAAUGUAAUCCUGGUGUCAGUGCUAUGACAUUGCUCUGUACACAGUAAUUUGUGGAAAUUUUUGUGUAAAGGUAAAAGCACUUGCCCCUAUUCAGCAAGUGGUGACCACUAGGAGUUCAGAAGCAAAGAACACCAACAGCUGCAUCUGAACACUGGCCACCUAGCUGCUCUGAGAUAGCUGCAGCAUCUGUUGCUGCUGCAGGUCUUGCUGCAGACCUCUCCCAUCACAGUACCAUCUGCCUCACCAGCUUUGUAGCAGCAUCUUCCGUCUUGCAGCUUGCUGCCCUUGCUCAGAGGCCCAUAUGCCUCUGCACUGCCUGUCUCUGUUUCUGAUAUGAUUGAAAUCACAUCUGCUCCACCACUGACUGCUGCUUUCAUUAUGGCUGUAAUGUCAUCCACCCUCUCACAUUCUGCUGUUGUUUCUGCUAUAAUGACACUAACAUCUGACUUGAAUUUUGACACAGUUGCUUAAAACAUCUGCCUCUGUGCGUACUUGAGGACACAGGUGUAGCUGGGCUGAUGUGAACUUAAGAUUCACCUAAACCUGUUUUCUCUACCACUGGCCAUCUCCACACACUAAUGGGGACCCUAUCGUAGGCACUCUACGAUAGGCAGAUGUGGGAAGAUUCCUGAUGAUCUUUGCCUGCUCCUGCAGUUGGUGCAACAACUAUAGUGUUAGCUGGGAUUUGGGAGACCGGGGUUCAGAUUUCUGCUUCACAACCAAUUCACCAACUAAGUUCAAAAAGAUUAUUUAGGCAUAGAUCUGUUGUGGAGUUUUACACUUCAAGUUACAGUUGCCAGUUUUCCAGUGGUUUGUUUUCACCAUGAAAAAAACCUAAGUGUCCUUGUCUUAAAGUUCCCCAUGCAAUGGAUGAGGAAAGUAACAAGAAUUUUCAGGAAUUUUACAGGAAUUUUCUCAAAAGUUACACCACUGAGAAAAGGCUUCACAGGAAAUGGAAAUGACAUGGGCACCUCCGUUGGUGUAAGAUUCAUAGUCUGAAACCAUCCCCGAGAGGGGUGUGCUUGUUUCUUUUCAAAAUGAAAGUGGGCCCAGUCCUUUUUCCUAAACCACAGCUGACGUGUAGUAGCAAGUUCUCACGUUUCCCCCUGCUUGCAAUGGCAGCACUGAAAGCAAGUAACAGAAGGAUGAGGAUUCAGUGGGUUUGGGCUGUGAGUUUGAAAUAAUGCCCCCUCCACCAGAAGGUUGCCACAAAAUCAUUAAAGAGGUGGCUGUAUGUGGGGAAUGUUCUCUUCUACAAGCUCUGCAUACAGUGCUCAAAAAUUCAAUACAGAGGAGGGAAAAGAGAGAUGGACCACUCAUAAGCAGUGAAGAAGAAGUCUGAGCUGAGAUGUUUAUCAUCUGCUAUGGCUCCCACAAGUAGCAAUGGAGAUAUUUAAGUAGAACAACAUCUUGAGGUUAAAAAAAAAAAAAAAUAGAAACAGAAAAAAACUAGCACUGUAGCUCUGCUCUGUAGAAAGCCUAUUUUUGCAAGACAUGGAAGAGAAUUAUCUGGUGAAAUCCUAUUUUUGGUUAUUCAAUGUGUUCACAGGUUUUCCCAGCAAAUCUAUGCCAUGUAGUAAACUCCCCUGCUUACUCACAGAAAUACAGAAACAAAUUGAACGUUCUCAUUUUCUUGUAAGUAAUCAUACUUCGAGGCCAAAAGCUCAGCCCCUUGCACGUGCCCCUCACACCUUUAUUCACUGACUUAUGCUGGCAUACCCAGUAUUCUUUAUUGCAGGCUUCAAUCCAAAAGCCAUAUAGCCAUGUUGGCAUGCUCUGCUGGAGCAGUAAGUCACUCUGGUUGAGCCAAUAAGCCUUGAGAAGAGGCUGGGCUCCUCAGCUCAAGCACAGCACUUGCAAAUAUAUUGAUUUGGGUUCAGGCUCCUGGGUUUAUAGCUCCUAAUGUGUCAUUUAGUUAUACAAAUUUAUGCAAGUCUGUCCUGGGAUAUUUGUGUGGCUUCUCUGUCUCCUGAUUAGUGUAAUAUCCUGGCAUAUAAUAGAUAUCUCCUUCCCUUCCUUCUCCCUUUCCCUCCCCCCUCCCUCUCCUCUCCUUUUUACAGUUAUAUUCCCAGCUCCCUGUGGAUGUUUCAUUACACUGUGCUACUCUGUCACCUCCACUGCAGCAUGCAAUGUGGGAAAUUUUGGAUGUCGCAGUCUGACACUGAUGAGUCAGGAAGCCCUGUGUUUGCUGAACUCAAUGCAUUUCAGUAUUCUCCUCGAGUGCAGCAGGCUCUGUCUGCAUGCUCAUAUUUCAGUAAGUGUGUAACAUUUACAGAAUCAGGAGUCCAAUCUGCCAUCGAAAUGAUCUGCGCAAGCAGCUGGUCUUAUGCCUGUCUAGUCAAACUAGACCAAACCUCUGAACCUUUUGAGGUUCGCUCAUCGCCAAUAAUUAAUGUCUGACUUUGAUAAAGCUGACAUUUGGUUUAUAAUGGCAGACUAAUAAGCUCUGAGAAGGCUUAGAAAUCCUAUAGAGUAAUGUGUUGCAUUACAAAUCUUAAAAAUUACUGUAAAAAUUAACAUAAUCUACUGCUGGGCACGUUAGUAUAUUAAUGUGAUUGGAAGCGUGACCUCUUUUUGCUAAAUUUCCAACUGACCCUGAUAAAUCUGUGACAUUUCUAGAUAUGUUACAGAUAACUAUUUUUUAACAUAUUCGUAAAAAUAUAAGAUACAGAGAAUGUAGAUAUAAAAAAAUACUGUAUUUUAAGGUCUUUUAAAAUUUCUCUUACAGGCUUUUCUCUCACAUAAAUGUCUUUUGCAUUUAAUGAGUAGCCCAAUGUUUACAUGUUUCAGGCAACUGGUUUUGUCUGGGUUUUUUUUCUCUGGCUUUCCAUUUUUGAGGCAGAUGUUAUCUUUAUGGUUAAAGAGGUUUGGGCCUCCCUCAGUGAUAUUUAGAGGGACUCAAAGCCUACUAAUUUUAAUUUCAGUGGCUCCAGCUAGCAAGUAGUGUGAGUUACUGACCUUGAGAUGACAUGAAUGAAAGGACAAAGUAUGAUGGGGACUUCGUCACAUCUCUCUGUGUCUUGGUUGGACAGUAGCUGUGAUGUACAUCUGAGACUUCUGGAUGUAGCAUUUCCUUCCCCUGCUCUGAGGAUGGACAUCAUCUGGAGGACACUGAUGCAGUAGAGGAUAACAUACCCGGUCAGUUACAAAAGAGGAAGAAAAAGAGGAAGAAGAAAGAAAGAAGAUGACAUGAAAAGAAGUAAGCAAUGUGCUUUCUGAUGUCUUCAUGUUCUCCUGAAUCAGGGUGAAAGGUUUACUUGCAAUUCUUAAACUACUUGGGAGCACAGCAUUAAAGCUAGAUGUAGUAUUAAUGAUAAAUGUUAGCUCUCACCAUUCACUAAAGCGUUUCUUCCUGUCCCUUAUUUACUCCUUGCCUUCUGAGAGUGUGGGAGUCCAUCUUUCAUUCAGUUAUGGGUCUUCAUCAGCGUGUAGUGAUUGCCCUCUUCACCAAAUAUUCUGAGUGUUUCACUAUGCCUUAAACGGAUCAAAGACAAUUUUCCCCAUUUUCCGUGUUCUGAAACGGCUGUUGAGGAGCAUAGGAGGAGUGUGUCCCAGCUCCUUCCGAUCAGGCAGCAAUUAACAUACCAAGGACCAUGGCACACAGAACCUAGAGAAUGUGUGAAAUCUGAAAAAACAUGGACUAAGGAGCAGAGGAAGUAGAGGGGGUAAUGAAGAAAGGCAAAGUCACAAUAGAAAGGAGUUCUUAAGCUUCUUAGAAAUAUACAUUGCAUUCACCAAAUGAUAUUGGGUGAAAAAAAAAACAGAGAGAAUUUUUAAAUUUAAAAUAUUUUGCUUUGACAGUCUUAACACAUACACAUGUUUUGGCAGAAAAAAAGUCUAUCAGCCUGAACUGCAUUUUUCCUGAUGCACUUUUUCCUCAGAUGAGCUACUGAAGAGGAAAAAAAGAUAAAUUUCUUCCUGCAGGUCUAGGCUAUUCAAGCUGCAGGGAGUUGAAGGUGUACAUCUCCGUUUUGACAUCCUGGAUAUUCCCCAAACACUCUGGGCUGACUUAGUGGCCAUCUGUCUGAAUUGACUGUGUUGUCCCCGGCUCAAAUGACCACCCAGCCUGAACUGUGCAAGGGGGGGCUGCCUGGCUGCGGUUAGUUUCUUCCCCAAAUAGCUCUAAAGUGUGGCUUGCUGUGUGCUUUAAGUAAAAUUAUGCUACUGUUCAGUCCUCCACUUGAUUAAAAUGUAUCUUUCAGCAUUUAAGGGUGGGCAGUGACUUCCUGGGAUUAGAAAGGGAAGUGAACUGGCUGGAAAGCAGCAAGGAAAGAAGUUGUUUACGAGUAGUGUGAGGGCAGAGUAGUCUGUGUUGCUGAAAUCUGGGGUUUGGCCACAUUACUCAACUCCAGUUACAGAUCUGCUAAAUUCACUCAGAGUCCCGUUUUCUUUCUUAAUAGUACACACAGGGACAUUUUUACCAGAAGAGUGAUUCAUCUGCUGUGGUAUUCCAGAUAAAUUUCAGGAGAGCAAGGCUCCCUUGGGCUGACAGUGUGAUCAUUUGCCGCAGGACAAAUGCCCUCACAGCCUGUCAAGUUGGCUGAACACAGGCUUCUCAAGAUUUGGACUUUUUCAACAUGUAAGAUUUCACUCAGCAUAACAAUUUUUCUUCCCAUAACAAAUGUUUUGAACAGUUUUGGAAGUCCUUGCGUUCUCACGAUUGCAGCAGUGUGCCAUUCUCUCUAGGCUCCAGCUGCUGACAGAGAAGCUCCAUGCAGGGAUGCUUGUCAAGGAGAGGCAUCAAUAUCCACGGGAAGUACAAGUAUUAUAAACUCGUCAAUACGGUCACUACUUAACAGGUCUGUGUGAAAUAAUUUAUAGAAAUGGAAGACUUGGCUGUUUUCAAGGCACAAGAGUUGCAGUGGCUGUCAGCUUAAUGAAAAAGUGUCGCUCUAGUCUCUGUUUCUGUUUCAGAGAGAAGUAAAUUGAUAAAACAAACCUAUUUCAAGUCUUUUAAUAAGGAAUUGUUUAAAGCGGUCAAAACAUUUGCUUCCUGAAAAAGAUAAGAGCUGAUUUAUUUUUUUUUUUAAUAGAUAUGUGUGUAUAUGGCUUAGGAUAUGAAAACAAGGUCUUUACAACCUCCAGAGUCAUUGGAGUGGAGGUAGCACCUCCUUACAAGUAGAAGCCAGGACUUCUGAGGUUUGGCCCAGGCUAUGAUACUGACUUGUUUUCUGCCAGUAACAAUUGAUAUAAUUUUAUUUUUUCUGUCAGAUGAGUAGGAUAACAUUCUCAGAUGCGCUGGAAUAUAAUCAAUUUUUCUAAAACAUCUAAAGAUCUUUGGAUGGAAAAGAGUGUCUGUACAUACUGAGUCUAUAAUUUAUGAAAUUUUGGGUCUGUAUAUUUUCUGGCUCAAUAUAUUUGCAUCUUAACAUCAAGAAAUAAAAUCAAGAACACACCAGUUGAAAAAAAAAUAAAA